UUUAUUCUGCUUAUAUUUAAAAAAAUAUAUACAUAUCUGCUUCUUUACUUGACAGUGCUAUAUUCAUAUCAGGACACACAGUUCAAGUUCAUUCCUUGAAGAUGAAAAAAACCCAUGUAGCUGAAAUCAUUUUGUUGAUCCUUGCCAGCUUCAGUUGUUACAUAAGCAGUUAACAUAGUAGGAAUAAUGAGGAGCUGCUGUUAGAGAUGGAUGAUGUUUUAGGAAUCAUCUCAGAAAAAUGUUCAGUACUUAUUCCUGGCACAACACGUUCGACUAACUUCACCCUUCAGAUGUGUAAAUUGCAAGCUGCUUGUUCUUCACUGGGUCCCUGGUCUGGAACUAGAGUCUCUUCGAGCAUGUUCGGAUCUGGUGUUUUGACGCAGACUAACCUGAAUGAUGAAAAUUAAGAAAGAGCAUGGAAUCAACAAAGCUACCAUAAGCCAGCAAAUACUCAAGGCACACUUUCAAAGUCAGCCAGAGGACAAAGGACAUGGAGGCCCAGUUCUGGUAAAUCUAUAAUAGAAGAUGGCCAUUCAAAUCUCUUAAGAAUUGUUGAGAUCCUCAGUUUAAUGAUC
rnacentral:lncRNA from 1 species